rnacentral:rRNA from 1 species
UGCAACGCGAAAAACCUUACCUACCUUUGACAUGUACGGAAUUCGCCAGAGAUGGCUUAGUGCUCGAAAGAGAACCGUAACACAGGUGCUGCAUGGCUGUCGUCAGCUCGUGUCGUGAGAUGUUGGGUUAAGUCCCGCAACGAGCGCAACCCUUGUCAUUAGUUGCUACAUUUAGUUGGGCACUCUAAUGAGACUGCCGGUGACAAACCGGAGGAAGGUGGGGAUGACGUCAAGUCCUCAUGGCCCUUAUAGGUAGGGCUACACACGUCAUACAAUGGAUGGUACAAAGGGUCGCCAACCCGCGAGGGGGAGCCAAUCCCAUAAAACCAUUCGUAGUCCGGAUCGC